ACAACGGCUCUUUUAAGAGCCACAUAUAUACUCAGGAGCAACAAGU
rfam:Larimichthys crocea isolate SSNF unplaced genomic scaffold scaffold285, whole genome shotgun sequence.